rnacentral:rRNA from 1 species
CACACUGCCGAGAAAAGCCUCUAGAUAGAAAAUAGGUGCCCGUACCGCAAACCGACACAGGUAGUCAAGAUGAGAAUUCUAAGGUGAGCGAGCGAACUCUCGUUAAGGAACUCGGCAAAAUGACCCCGUAACUUCGGGAGAAGGGGUGCUCUUUAGGGUUAACGCCCAGAAGAGCCGCAGUGAAUAGGCCCAAGCGACUGUUUAUCAAAAACACAGGUCUCUGCUAAACCGUAAGGUGAUGUAUAGGGGCUGACGCCUGCCCGGUGCUGGAAGGUUAAGAGGAGUGGUUAGCUUCUGCGAAGCUACGAAUCGAAGCCCCAGUAAACGGCGGCCGUAACUAUAACGGUCCUAAGGUAGCGAAAUUCCUUGUCGGGUAAGUUCCGACCCGCACGAAAGGCGUAACGAUUUGGGCACUGUCUCAACGAGAGACUCGGUGAAAUCAUAGUACCUGUGAAGAUGCAGGUUACCCGCGACAGGACGGAAAGACCCCGUGGAGCUUUACUGUAGCCUGAUAUUGAAAUUCGGCACAGCUUGUACAGGAUAGGUAGGAGCCUUUGAAACGUGAGCGCUAGCUUACGUGGAGGCGCUGGUGGGAUACUACCCUAGCUGUGUUGGCUUUCUAACCCGCACCACUUAUCG